AUGAAAAUGUCUGAAGAUUCGUGAUCUUUACGGAUUGUUAUUUAGUGAUGUUAAGUGAACAAGAAUAUAUGAUUGUUAAUCAUGAAGUUUAACUAUUUGUUAGGAUUUCUAAUUGUUCUUGUUCACAGCAGUAACAGUUCAUUGAACUGCAGGGACGCAUUGAAUGAUAUUGCGCUGAAGCUUGAAUACUCCGAGGAAAGCCUCGAACUAUUAUUCCAAAAUGUUCAACAAAUAAACGAAACUCUGCAAGUCUGUCUCGGUAAAACUAAGGACCCGGGAGUUGAACUAGUGUUAGAACUAGUAUCUCUUCAAGACUCUCUGAACUCAGAUAAUUGUUGUAAGAAACCAUGUAAAGAUUCUAGAGUACAAGACAAGGUUUAUUUAAGUAAAAUCAUAUCUGAUCCUUCAUUCACAUUCCGUUAUGUGGAAGGGUUAUAUUUCUAUAGAUUCAGGCGUUGUUCAUGUCCGAACCAAUACUGCACAAGUUGCAGAACUAUCCUUUGCAGUGAAACUCAGAGUUUCAAAGUUUUCAGCGAAGACAAAUCUGAAUAUGGUUGCGGAGACAUGAGCUUAUCCUACUUAAAUAAGCAUACACGGUUCUCCUUUAACCAGGAGGAGGAAAACUGUACCCUGGAGAUAAAACCUGUUUUUCCUUCCUGUUCCCCAAUUCUUCAUUAUUCGCAAGCUGAAAUAUCAGUGUUUCAGACUGAAGAGAAUGAGACGUGUCCUGGUGAGUUAGAAGGAUUAGAUAAACUCCACACAUCACAAAGGAAUAUUUAUUCUUGUAAUUCAACUCUCUGUCCAACUGUUAACCUUUUCAACACAAGCUUGGGAUUUGUCAAUUAUGAUUUUGAAGCAGAGAUGAACUCCAGCUACUGUGUACUCAUUGAGCAAAGAAGUCCGUUCUGUGAGAUGAACCCUGAACUAUGCUCGGUAUAUUACGACACCCCUGUUAAGUGCAGAUUAUACUCAAACCAAGCAAUUCUAGUUCUUCCUCUCUCUGAACCAAUAUUUAUUGGUUGCGUUUGUGGAAUACUUUUCCUCAGUCUCCUUCUUCUUCUCUGGACCGUGGUUAAAUGUAAGAAAGAACAAACCACUCCGAACUCUUCACCAGAGCCGGAGCUAAUCAAAGAAAAGAACAUUCCUCGGUCAUUAACUAUCGAUGAGAUGGAACACAUAUGUAGACUAAGGCACCAGGAGCUGGUUCUAGUCUACUUUCCAGAUACAGAGAGAUUUAAAGAUCUAAACCGUCUCUUCAAAAAUUGGCUUUUAUCUCUCAGCAUUCUCAAUGUGAACGAUGUCACCGACGUUUAUGAUGAGAAGUUCACCGAGGGUCCUGAUGGAAUCCUCGAGAAUCCUGAUGGAUGGGUUUCUAACCUCCUGAAUGACCAAGAACGAAGAGUAAUACUUGUAACGUCUAAGUUAGCAUAUGAGUGUUUGGUUCAUCUGAGGAAAGGAUUAGCUCCUCCAAAGUUUCCAAACUACGAGGCACACAGUCAACUACUCUUCAGUAUUCUCAAACUCCUGGAUUCGGAGAUGUUUCGUGGAAAUUAUAGGAGGCUAAUGUGUGUGAGAUACGAGGAUUUAAAGAUUUGUGAUCGCAGAUAUGGUUCCGAGAGCUUUAACAUUGUCCCAGGGACAGAGUAUCUGCUCCCACAGCACUUGGAGGACGUUGCACGGUGGAUCCAUCCUGUAGAAGCAAAACCUGGACUCUGGGCGGAGCAUAGACCUCAGGUUCGAAACCUCCUCGAUUCUCUCAAGCAGUAUCGACACCACGAGGAUAAUAUAUUCACCGUAUCUUUCUACGACGGGGAGAACGGAACUUUACUUGGACAUGAGUUUAAGAACGGGUUCUAACUCUUAUCAUCAACCCAGAAUUAAUCUAUAUAAACAUGGAACGAGAAGAGUUUCUCAGGGUUGAAAGCUUUAUCUUACAAACCCCUUACCUAAAUUCUCACUAGAAAUUUGGUAGAUUUAGAUAUGAUCUUACUUUCCAGUUUCCAUAAAUAGAAUUAGACCAUUUCCUAAUCUCAUAUUUACCUUUAAAACUUAGAAUUUUGUUUUGUAACAUUCCGUGCCAAAAAUAUUCUUCCAUAAACAAUAAGAAUGGAUUGUAUGGAUUCCGUGCAUCUGAACAAAUAGCAUUGACGUCCUAAUAUACAUGAAUAAUACUCCUCAACCAGCCAAUAACAUACCGGUGCUCUUUUCAAUCUAGAAAAGUUUAGGGGUGGAAAUUGUUCAGUUUCUUUAUUCCAGAACAGAAUAAGACAGAUCAUAGAUUUAUAUUAAUCAUAGAUUACUUAGACAUUAGCUAUUAUUUUUUUCUUCCCUCAAAAGAAAUUUUUCAAUCUUUGCAAAUAAUUUCACAAACAAGCUUAUUAAAAAAAUAUUUACCUAAACCAAUCAUAAAUUAAUUCAUGCUUACUUUUCAGCAAAUCGCCAAAACAUUGUUGAUUUAUUAAAAAAAGGUGUUUUAUUUAACUCUUAAAUUCAUUUUCAAUCAUAGUCUUUCAUUCUGAAAUCUCUUAAAUUUUCAAAAUAUUUUUACUACUUCCACUAAUUGUAUUCUAGAAAAGUCAAUGAUAAAAGAAAAAUGUACUUUAAAGACAUAUUUUAUCUACUCCUUCUUGCCAUAAUUACUUAAUUUCUACAUUAAAUACUUUUUUGAAAAAUACUAGGCGUUUUUAUUUAUUUAGUCCCACAGACCGAAUUAAAACGAUAAAAAUGUCUUUUUUGUAAUUGUUUGCAUAUCAGUUUGAAAAUAUUAAACCAUGCUGACGUAACAGAUUGGCAAUUUAUCUUUUUUCUUCACAUUUUAAUAAAAAUUAUGUGAAAUAAAAAAUAUGAAUAUUAAUCAACUAGUUAAUAUUCCGAGACUGGCAGUGGUUGGUUUAUCAUUUAGAAUUAGACAAUUGUGCGAGAUAUAAUUCAUCAUAUUGCCCUUGACGCAUAAUUAUGCUCAAUAACAGUUUACUCAUUCUUUACUUUCAAUAUUAUGGUAACCCUUUUUAUUUUUGUUGACUAGUACUUAAUGUUGAAAAUCGUCCGUAUUUAACUUUAUUGUGUACCAUCUAGUCUAGAAAUCAAGCGAACACAUAAUUGUAUUUAAAAGAAAUAUUUUUGAUGAAUAUUAGCGUUAUAUUGAAACAGUGAUAGUAGUAAACGUUGGAAUGAAGAAUCUCAUGUUUAUUGUAUGUACCAGUAUUCUGAAUGUGAUCCGAUUAUUUUGUUAACAAUAUAUAUUAUCGUAUUAUUCAGUACUCAAUACACUAUUUUUGAAACCUGAUCUUUUGGCAAAUUUAAACAGCUUAAUCCCAUCCAGGCAAUGGUUCUAAAUACAAAAGGACAGAAAAAAGACUCAGAUUUCAAUACAGUUAACACUUGACAAAACAAACAGAAAUUCACAAGAAAAAUAUCAAUAAGAAUUCACUAAUAAAAAACUGAAAUGUAAAGGAAUUCAAAGUUUUCUAUGGAUGAUCUAUCCAAUUCAAUUUUGACAGCUUAUUCAGCAAUCCUGAAAAAUUCUUCUUUUCCAUCCUUCAAUAUGAAGAGUUCUUGCCUCCGGGUUUAUGAAAUGAGAGCUGGAUCACCAGUUAAUUAUGAAACGUCCAGAUAUUGCAUUAAAUUAUACAACUCAUGUAUUUUCUUAUUUUCUUCCUUAUCGUAUUUAUUAUAUAUUUAACCCAGUAUUGAGUACGCUGUAGUUCUUGUAAACAGUUACCCCCCGGCUCUACUUUAUCUAGUCAGUUAAUUUCGUCCUGUAUUUAUAGAACAAAAUGUUGGUACUUCUCCCCCUCUCCUUGAAUCAGUAAAUUUAGACGGAUCUUGUUGAGUUGAGAUGGUUCGAAAAUGAGGUGAAAGAGAAUC